CGAGGACAUUACUGAAUUUAUGACAAGGUUGUAGCUGGCCCUAUCCGGGCAUGUGCACGCCUUGCUCAUUCCAAUUCUACACCUCUGUGCACCUAACAUGGGUUGGUUGCGGCUCGUCUCUCGGGAUGAGCUUGACCGCCUGUGGUUCUCUACAAACACUUAUAGUAUCAGAAUGUCAAAUAGCGUAUUAUAACGCAUUUUAUACAACUUUCAGCAACGGAUCUCUUGGCUCUCGCAUCGAUGAAGAACGCAGCGAAAUGCGAUAAGUAAUGUGAAUUGCAGAAUUCAGUGAAUCAUCGAAUCUUUGAACGCACCUUGCGCUCCUUGGUAUUCCGAGGAGCAUGCCUGUUUGAGUGUCAUGGUAUUCUCAAUUCCCUAAAUCUUUGCGGAUAUAGGUGAAUUGGAUGUGGAGGUGAUUGCUGGCGUGCAUGAAAUAUGGCGUGUCGGCUCCUCUAAAAUAAAUUAGCCGGGAAUGUUGCCGUGCCAACCUCAGUGUGAUAAUUGUCUACGCUGUUGUUGCUCAGCAAAAUAUAUGUUCUUGCUUCUAAUCGUCUUUGGACAACUUUUUGACAUCUGACCUCAAAUCAGGUAGGACUACCCGCUGAACUUAAGCAUACAAAAACGGGAGGGAA
rnacentral:rRNA from 1 species